AUCCAGCUGACGAGUUUUAAUUGGGACGAAACGCGCGUCCUGGAU
rnacentral:hammerhead_ribozyme from 1 species